UGGAGCUGGACAGCCGGAGGUCCAGUGCCAGCCUCCCCGACCCCUCCUCCACCUUGGCUCUGUCCGCUUGGUUCUGGCUCCUCCCCGAUCCGUCGGUCGGGCUCACGAUGUCGACAGCCAUGAUGACCUCUGAACUCUGCAUCUCUCCCCCGCUGCUCUCUCCUUCCUCCUCUUCCUCCUCCUCCUCUUCUUCCUCUUCGUCACGCUCCUCCUUACGCUCCGGUUGUUCUCCCCCUCCUUCCUUCUCUUUGCGCUCGUCCUCCUCUUCUUCUUUGAUCUCCUCCCAGAAAUGAGCCGUCUCGCCCUCGAUGAUUGGCUGGAGGGUCUGAGUUCGCCUCUUACUGGAGGGGGACACCUGAGGGGGAGAGAGGGGAGGUUAAAGCACACACAGGACUUCAUUCUUUAGAAGCAGAGUUUCUUAUAGUACAAGCCUCCUGAAAACAUUGUCCACAGAAGUGAACUUUAAAGCCUUCAGGAAUGAGACAACUGUUCAGGAAGUUUUACCUAAAAGGAGCGAUCGUAAAGAGGCUUCACCACCAGACGCUCCUCUCUCGUCACCUGAGAGACAAAAAAAUGAAGAGAGGGAAAACGCCAGCCAUCCUCCUGCCUCUUCCCUUUGACUCUGCGCUGGAUCAGCUCCAGUGUUUCCUCCCUGGUGGGACUCUGACCCUUGACCUCCCCUGUUGCAUCGCACGCACUCUGGUCCAGCGUAGAACCGAAGCUCUUGGAUGUUGAAGCUUCUUCGUGAGUUGGUGGGUCACCGAAUCUCCUCCUCUCAUCGCCUCUUUGGAUCCAAAUGAUGCGCGCCGCGGCCUGAGUUAAGAGCGGAAAGUGAAGAAUGAAAGAGAUGCCAAAAAAUAUCCCACAUGAUCUCACAUUUAUUCUUGAAUCAGUGAAUAAAUGAUAGAAUUAUACAACA